rnacentral:rRNA from 1 species
CCUACGGGGGGCAGCAGUGAGGAAUAUUGGUCAAUGGACGCGAGCCUGAACCAGCCAAGUAGCGUGAAGGAUGACUGCCCUACGGGUUGUAAACUUCUUUUAUAUGGGAAUAAAGUGAUCCACGUGUGGGUUUUUGCAUGUACUCUAUGAAUAAGGAUCGGCUAACUCCGUGCCAGCAGCCGCGGUAAUACGGAGGAUCCGAGCGUUAUCCGGAUUUAUUGGGUUUAAAGGGAGCGUAGAUGGGUUGUUAAGUCAGUGGUGAAAGUUUGUGGCUCAACCGUAAAAUUGCCGUUGAUACUGGCAGUCUUGAGUAUAGUUGAGGUAGGCGGAAUGCGUGGUGUAGCGGUGAAAUGCUUAGAUAUCACGAAGAACUCCGAUUGCGAAGGCAGCUUACUAAGCUGUAACUGACAUUGAUGCUCGAAAGUGUGGGGAUCAAACAGGAUUAGAUACCCUGGUAGUC